rnacentral:rRNA from 1 species
GCCUACGGGGGGCAGCAGUGGGGGAUAUUGGACAAUGGGGGAAACCCUGAUCCAGCGAUGCCGCGUGAGGGAAGAAGGUUUUCGGAUUGUAAACCUCUGUGGAGGGGGACGAUAAUGACGGUACCCCUUUAGGAAGCCACGGCUAACUACGUGCCAGCAGCCGCGGUAAUACGUAGGUGGCGAGCGUUGUCCGGAAUUACUGGGUGUAAAGGGAGUGUAGGCGGCUCUGCAAGUCAGGCGUGAAAGCUAGGGGCUCAACCCCUAAAUUGCGCUUGAAACUGUGGAGCUUGAGUGAAGUAGAGGCG